UACGGGGGGGGCAAGCGUUGUUCGGAAUUACUGGGCGUAAAGGGCUCGUAGGUGGCCAACUAAGUCAGACGUGAAAUCCCUCGGCUUAACCGGGGAACUGCGUCUGAUACUGGAUGGCUCGAGUGUGGGAGAGGAAUGCGGAAUUCCAGGUGUAGCGGUGAAAUGCGUAGAUAUCUGGAGGAACACCGGUGGCGAAGGCGGCAUUCUGGACCAUAACUGACACUGAGAGACGAAAGCCAGGGGAGCAAACGGG
rnacentral:rRNA from 1 species